GCCUUGCAGGAUGAUGAUUCGAUCGCGUAUCUCCACAUUGGUCUUGGCCCUGACUAUGAUCCCUCCAUCACCUCAAUGACUAACAAGAUUGAAGCCCUCGCGCUUGAUGAUGUAUUUACACAUCUAAUAGCAUUUGGAGC